rnacentral:tRNA from 1 species
GGCUGGCUAGCUCAGCUGGUUAGAGUAUGGUGCUAAUAAUGCCAAAAUCAUGGGUUCAAGCCCUAGCCUGGCCA